GGCCAUUCAUCUGUGUGUGUUGUCUUUAGUUGGAUAUUAGUGGACUUAGUGCGCAGCAAGUAAUCAGCGAGGAAACUCAUACUGUUUGAAUAAUGCUUUGGAUACUUAUAAUCCUUCUCAUGAACAUGUACAAAGCACAUGAUAUUAUUCAAUUAAAUCGAGUAAUAGAAGCUGCACCUGGAGAUACAGUGACUUUAGAUUGCUUUUUUCCUGAGGCUUUCAAACACUACCAACUGUCCUGGUACAAACAGACACUGGGACAAAAGCCUUUUUUGGUGGCUACGCGACUUUUUUGGUCGGGAGCCACUCUAUCCUGGGAUCCUUUGUUUUCUAAAGACUUUCAAAAUGGACGGAUGAACAUACCAAAUCAGUUUGAUGGAGUAUUUAAUCUGACCCUCAAAAGCAUCAACUCAUCUGAUGAAGCAACGUAUUACUGCACAGGGACAUUUAAUGAGCAGAGUACAUUUGGAAAUGGAACGUUUUUGGCUCUUAAAGGUAAUACACGUGUGUUUCAACAGAACACUACAACAAUUCAGGGGUUAUGAGACAUUUCACCCACUUUAUAUUUACUAUUAUCUUUGAAAUAUAGGACACAGACAGUUUAACCAGAGCUUUAAUGAUGAUAGAGCAUUCAUCUGCGCAGUGGCCAACUGUGGACAAAUGAACACUGAAAAGAAGACAGUGUUGAACACAGAAAAAGCUGUGGAUCCUGUUGUUUAUGGGUUGGCUGCUGUGUUGGGACUGUGUUUUGUGCUCAUAUGUUACUUGGCCAGUUUAAUGUACCAAGACAGGAAACACAAACAUGACAAAGAAGUGAAGUCUCAACAAGUUCACACAGACAGGUCCUUCAGAGAUCCAUCAAGUGGGCAGGAUGCUGAAGAACUGAUCAAUUAUGCUGCCUUGCACUUCUCUGAUAAGAAAUUGAAAAUAGGAAAGAAGAAGAGAGAACUGCCACAAGAGAGCAUAUACUCCGAUGUCAGAGGUUAAUAACCGAGGGAG
ensembl:lncRNA